rnacentral:rRNA from 1 species
GACGAACGCUGGCGGCGUGCUUAACACAUGCAAGUCGAACGGAGAGGCCCCUUCGGGGGUCCUCGAGUGGCGAACAGGUGAGUAACACGUUAGUAACCUGCCCUUUACUUCGGGAUAACUUCAGGAAACUGGGGCUAAUACCGGAUAGGAAUCCUUGCUUCAUGGUGGGGGUUGGAAAGCUUCGGCGGUUUUGUAUGGACUCGCGGCUUAUCAGCUUGUUGGUGGGGUAGUGGCUUACCAAGGCUUUGACGGGUAGCCGGCCUGAGAGGGCGACCGGCCACAUUGGGACGGAGAUACGGCCCAGACUCCUACGGGAGGAAGCAGUGGAGAAUAUUGCACAAUAGGCGGAAGCCUGAUGCAGCAACGACGCGUGCGGGAUGACGGCCUUCGGGUUGUAACACGAUUUCAGCAGGGGAGAAGCUUGUGGUGACGGUACCUGCAGAAGAAGCAAAGGCUAACUACGUG